UCAUUCGAAUCGAAUAGCUGAAACUACUAUAACUCCUAUUUUUCUGCUUUAAGAGAAGCCUUCUAGCUCGUUUUAAAGCGUUGAAGAGAGAGAUAGGACAUUCUAAAGAUAGUUGUUGAGGAUUUCUAACUACGAGUCCGUUUUCAAGCUAACUGAAUGCCUAUCUGCUGCUAGUUCUGUUCCACUAUCUGCUCUUACUGCUCUCGUUGCCGGUGUGACAGUCUGAGUAGACGGUGCUCUCUUUCCUGUUGUUUUUGGGGUUCAUAACCGGUGCUAUUGAAUCUGCAGUUAAGGGAAUCUCACCAGUUCUUGGAAUAAGAGCUCUGGGACUUCAUGGCUUUGAGGGAGGUUUAGCCUAGCCCUAAGCCUUUUCGGAAUAGAAUGCUUCUUUGACAGAGCUUCAAGCAAGAAGGAGGAAGGCCCUCUUUUCGCCAAUGGAUCACUUAGUCGGAAUAAGCGGGCUUAGGUUGAUGCGGAAUAAGCCAUUUUUCCCCUGUUUCCAUGGAAAGGUGUCGAAGGAAUAGGCACAUUUAGAGUUGUGGGACUUGAAGGAAUAUAAUGCCCCGUUAGAAUGGGCAGGGACAGUCGAUCAUUGGCUUAAUUUCCUGGGGGACUCUAGUAUCAAAAAUUCCCGGUAUUUCGUCGUGAAAGUGUCACAUUUAGAUUGUUCUUAUUAAAGGAAAGAGCCGAAUAGACAAAGGGUUUACAUGACCGCUCGCUUUGGACAAGAUGCCAUAGUAUAAGAAGAAGGCCUUUGUUUGCAA
rnacentral:lncRNA from 1 species